UGCUGGUCUGAAGGUAGUGAUUUAUCUCAAUAUAUUGUUCACAGUCAGUUACAGAUUUAGCUCCUUGUUCUACUCUUCACCCGCUUCUCACUGCUGUACUUGACUAGUCUUAA
ensembl:misc_RNA Y_RNA Y RNA